rnacentral:rRNA from 1 species
CAAGUCGAGGGGCAGCAUGAAGUAGCAAUACUUUGAUGGCGACCGGCAAACGGGUGCGGAACACGUACACAACCUUCCUUUAAGUGGGGAAUAGCCCAGAGAAAUUUGGAUUAAUACCCCGUAACACAACGAAGUGGCAUCACUUUGUUGUUAUAGUUUCGGCGCUUAAUGAUGGGUGUGCGUAUGAUUAGAUAGUUGGCGAGGUAACGGCUCACCAAGUCUACGAUCAUUAGCUGAUGUGAGAGCAUGAUCAGCCACACGGGCACUGAGACACGGGCCCGACUCCUACGGGAGGCAGCAGUAAGGAAUAUUGGUCAAUGGACGCAAGUCUGAACCAGCCAUGCCGCGUGAAGGAUUAAGGUCCUCUGGAUUGUAAACUUCUUUUAUAUGGGACGAAAAAAGGUCUUUCUAGACCCCUUGACGGUACCAUAUGAAUAAGCACCGGCUAACUCCGUGCCAGCAGCCGCGGUAAUACGGAGGGUGCAAGCGUUAUCCGGAUUCACUGGGUUUAAAGGGUGCGUAGGCGGGCAGGUAAGUCAGUGGUGAAAUCCUGGAGCUCAACUCCAGAACUGCCAUUGAUACUAUCUGUCUUGAAUAUUGUGGAGGUAAGCGGAAUAUGUCAUGUAGCGGUGAAAUGCUUAGAUAUGACAUAGAACACCCAUUGCGAAGGCAGCUUACUACGCAUAUAUUGACGCUGAGGCACGAAAGCGUGGGGAUCAAACAGGAUUAGAUACCCUGGUAGUCCACGCCCUAAACUAUGGAUACUCGACAUAUGCGAUACACUGUAUGUGUCUGAGCGAAAGCAUUAAGUAUCCCACCUGGGAAGUACGUUCGCAAGAAUGAAACUCAAGGAAUUGGCGG